CGGACGGGUGAGUAAUGUCUGGGAAACUGCCCGAUGGAGGGGGAUAACUACUGGAAACGGUAGCUAAUACCGCAUAACGUCGCAAGACCAAAGCGGGGGACCUCCGGGCCUCGCGCCAUCAGAUGAACCCAUAUGGGAUUAGCUAGUAGGUGGGGUAAUGGCUCACCUAGGCGACGAUCCCUAGCUGGUCUGAGAGGAUGACCAGCCACACUGGAACUGAGACACGGUCCAG
rnacentral:rRNA from 1 species